ensembl:lncRNA
UCCUGCCGUUUUCCUGUUCAAGUGCAACUUAUACUCCAUGUCCAAGUGGAAUUUAAUGCUUCAUCAACGGGUCUAAUGCAAAGGAAGUAUGGCUAUGAUGCCCUUGCUCCCCAUUGCACUCUCCUGGAUAGUGGUUUUGGUUCCUGGUUUGGUUUCUGCGUUCAAAGUCCAGAUGAACAUCACAGCUGGAGAGAACGUCACUCUGCCAUGUCAAGCUUCAAACAACAACAAAAUCAUCAUAGCUAUUGAGUGGAGUAGAGCUGACCUGCCCGCGGAAUAUGUCCUUUUUUACCGCGAUGAGCAAUUUGAUCCAGAAAACCAGCAUCCAUCUUUUAAGAACCGAGUGGAUCUGCAGGACAAACAGAUGAAGGAUGAAGACGUGUCUUUGAUUCUGAACAAUGUGACGACUGCUGAUGCUGGAACUUACGAGUGUCGUGUCAUCCAGAAAGAAACAAGCCGCGGGAAGAGAGCUCAUCUGGGUGUUGACCCCAUCAGCGUCAUCUACCUUCAUGUUGAUCCUCCAGGUCAGACAGGAGGACACCCAGGGGAUGGAGGGAAGGAGGAUGGAUCUGUUGGACUAAUAGCUGGUGUGGUAGUUUCUGCUGUGCUUCUUGUUGCUGCUGUUGCUGUUUUUUUGAUCUACCAAAAAUGUAAGAAGCAUGAUCGCCAAUUAUACCAACCUCCUGUUGAAAUGAAUCAUGUUUAAAACAUCAUAGAAUUUUUCCACCUGUGACACCCAGUGGGCUGGCCUUGUUCUUGCAUUCUUGUUGCCUGUUUCUUGCAGGUAGGUGGAGCUGACCCAAUUAUAGAUGCAGCACACCUGAGAAGGCCAGUCCCAGUGUAUAAAGACACCAUG